rnacentral:rRNA from 1 species
UUCAGCAGCCACACCGCCUGCCCUUCUGACAAGGUGCUCUAUCAGAAGCUAAGCAGGUUUUAGCCUGGUUGGUGUUUGGAUGGGAGGCAAACUAGGAGAGCUGGGUUGUUACUGCAU